rnacentral:rRNA from 1 species
GACGAACGCUGGCGGCGUGCUUAACACAUGCAAGUCGAACGGAAAGGCCCUGCUUUUGUGGGGUGCUCGAGUGGCGAACGGAUGAGUAACACGUGAGUAACCUGCCCUUGACUUUGGGAUAACUUCAGGAAACUGGGGCUAAUACCGGAUAGGAGCUCCUGCUGCAUGGUGGGGGUUGGAAAGUUUCGGCGGUUGGGGAUGGACUCGCGGCUUAUCAGCUUGUUGGUGGGGUAGUGGCUUACCAAGGCUUUGACGGGUAGCCGGCCUGAGAGGGUGACCGGCCACAUUGGGACUGAGAUACGGCCCAGACUCCUACGGGAGGCAGCAGUGGGGAAUAUUGCACAAUGGGCGGAAGCCUGAUGCAGCAACGCCGCGUGCGGGAUGACGGCCUUCGGGUUGUAAACCGCUUUCGCCUGUGACGAAGCGUGAGUGACGGUAAUGGGUAAAGAAGCACUGGCUAACUACGUG